AGCCACAGCCAUAUCACCCUGCAGCCCAAGACUGGUUGCCCACUGAAGCUAAGCAGGGUUGAGCCUGGUCAGUACCUGGAUGGGAGACCUCAUGGGAAAACUAGGUUGCUGUUGGAA
rnacentral:rRNA from 1 species